AUUGAACGCUGGCGGCGUGCCUAACACAUGCAAGUCGAGCGGUAACAGGUGUAGCAAUACAUGCUGACGAGCGGCGAACGGGUGAGUAAUGCUUCGGAAUCUACCUUAUGGUGGGGAAUAACUAGCCGAAAGGUUAGCUAAUACCGCAUACGUCCUACGGGAGAAAGCAGGGGAUCGUAAGACCUUGCGCCAAAAGAUGAGCCGAAGUCGGAUUAGCUAGUUGGUAGGUAACGGCCACCAAGGCGACGAUCCGUAGCUGGUCUGAGAGGACGACCAGCCACACUGGGACUGAGACACGGCCCAGACUCCUACGGGAGGCAGCAGUGGGGAAUAUUGGACAAUGGGGAAACCCUGAUCCAGCGACGCCGCGUGUGUGAAGAAGGCCUGCGGGUUGUAAAGCACUUUAGUGGGGAGUGAAAUGUGCAGGGUUAACACCUCUGC
rnacentral:rRNA from 1 species